rnacentral:rRNA from 1 species
AUUGAACGCUGGCGGCAGGCCUAACACAUGCAAGUCGAGCGGAUGAAGGGAGCUUGCUCCUGGAUUCAGCGGCGGACGGGUGAGUAAUGCCUAGGAAUCUGCCUGGUAGUGGGGGAUAACGUCCGGAAACGGGCGCUAAUACCGCAUACGUCCUGAGGGAGAAAGUGGGGGAUCUUCGGACCUCACGCUAUCAGAUGAGCCUAGGUCGGAUUAGCUAGUUGGUGGGGUAAAGGCCUACCAAGGCGACGAUCCGUAACUGGUCUGAGAGGAUGAUCAGUCACACAGGAACGGCGACACGGUCCAGACUCCUACGGGAGGCAGCAGUGGAGAAUAGAGGACGAGGGGAGAAAUGCUGCUCCCGCCAUGCGGCGGGUGUGAAGGUCUUCGGAUUGUAAAGCACUUUAAGUUGGGAGGAAGGGCAGUAAGUUAAUACCUUGCUGUUUUGACGUUACCAACAGAAUAAGCACCGGCUAACUUCGUG